CGAGUGGCGGACGGGUGAGUAAUGUCUGGGAAACUGCCUGAUGGAGGGGGAUAACUACUGGAAACGGUAGCUAAUACCGCAUAACGUCGAAAGACCAAAGAGGGGGACCCUCGGGCCUCUUGCCAUCGGAUGUGCCCAGAUGGGAUUAGCUAGUAGGUGGGGUAACGGCUCACCUAGGCGACGAUCCCUAGCUGGUCUGAGAGGAUGACCAGCCACACUGGAACUGAGACACGGUCCAGACUCCUACGGGAGGCAGCAUG
rnacentral:rRNA from 1 species